rnacentral:lncRNA from 1 species
UUUACAUUUGUAUUACUUUGGUGCAAUGCAAGUGGGUCUACAGGCAAUGCCCACUCCUGAGAAUCCUGUUCCACUUCCAAGGAGCUCCAGGAGCUCUGUCUGCUCUAUUGUGAAUCCAACUCAAUUUGAUAUCCCCAGGCUUAUCAAAAAUCAAUCCUUACACUGUGGGCUCAUUAUUUUAUAGGAAGACUGGAGUCACACUCUAUUUACAAAGUCUUUGAGGUAAGUGAUGACCUGUUGGAAAAAUGCUUAUAGUUUUAGAAUUACCACACAAUGCCUCUGACAAGACCUACUCCUGCUGGGAUGAACUGGUUUCAUGUGUAUUAGAUUAUAUGCCAAGAAAUACUUGCCUUAAGACUGGCCCAAAAGCCCUGUCGGUCAAGACUCCAAAUCAACCUCCAAGCAGGUACCAUAGAAAUCCAAACCCUUAGGCUGGCCCAGCAGGUUGACUUCAGAGGCAGCCAAUCUGUGUGUGUAUCUCAAGCUUGGUAAAAACAUGCAAGUAUGAAAGCAAAUUGAGCCAUAAUCUCCACAAGUUAAAUAAUAAAGUAAACUUCUUAUAUAAGCCAAAUCAUGAUUAACAGCUACACUUUGCUAUCAGGGUAAGAUAAUUUGUGUUAAGAACUCAUGAAAGUAAUAGAAUCAUUCUGUGAUGGUUUCAAGUAUUUUCAAGCUUUACAUCCUGUAAUUCUAGGCUCUCUGGGACAAUGCUGCUUUAGAAUUCCAUCCAUAGGUGAUUAGGUGUAAAGUAGCUAGCCUAUCCCCACUGUUGACAAAGUGAGGUCACUAUGAGCUGUCAACACAGAAAAGAAAGGACCUUAAUACAACGGCUGCUGAUGUUCAGGUGUCAGGGAGGGUGUGUACAUGAGGCAAGAACCCAGCCGUGCAAUGAAAGCAAGUUGGAGACAGGCUGGGAUCAGAAACCUAAUAUAUUUUAAGACUAAUUUAUUCUAAUGGCCACAACAGAUAAGCCACAUUGCUCACCACCAAACAGGCCACUCAUGAAGCCUUUAUAUGUCCAUGGUGCACAGCCAGUAGCAUCUAUUUUGAAACUUUUUCCAGACCAAAACUAUUUCUGCCUUGCUUUAUAGGGUGAGGAAUCCAGGGUCUCAGGGUAACAUUUGUUUAAAUACUAAGGUGAGUCCAAAGCUGUUCCUGAGAAAAAUGUAUAUUUAUGUGGCCACUCUUUGUGAAUGUGGGAUACCUUUCUACUCUGUCAAAAUCAUAGGCUAGGCUCCACAACUUCCGUAUUUGAAGAUCACCUCUAUAAUCACCUCUUUUGGCUUCCUAAAAAGAGCUGAUUUGAAUUAGCAAUAGAGAACACCAGCACUGCAGCCCUUACCAGGGAGCAAAUGGUUAAGCUUUUUGCCAGCUGAUAUGGUUUGGCUGUGUCCCCACCCAAAUCUCAUCUUGAAUUGUAGCUCCCAUAAUUCCUACAUGUCAUGGGAGGGACCCAGUGGAAGGUAAUUGAAUCAUAGGGGUGGGUCUUUCUCAUGCUGUUCUUUUGAUAGUGAAUGAAUCUCAUGAGAUCUGAUGGUUUUAUAAAGGUGAGUUCCCCUACACAAGCUCUCUUGCCUGCUGCCAUGUAAGAUGUGACUUUGCUCCUCCUUUGCCUUCCACCAUGAUUGUGAGGCCUCCCCAGCCAUGUGGAACUGUGAGUCCAUUAAUCCUCUUUCCUUUAUAAAUUCCCCAGUCUGGGGUAUGUCUUUAUUAGCAGCAUAAGAACAGACUAACACAGCAGCCUAGUCUUACAAAGAGCCCUAUUGAAUGGCAAUAUUUUGGGAGUGUCAAUAGAGAUGAAGCAUCUAGAAUUCAGCAAUUCUAGGCUCUGUAAAUUCUACUUAAUUCAAGUUAGCCUGCUGAACACUCUACUGUAGAACCUAUUUACUGAGUGCUUAGUGCUAAAAUCAUCUUAACUGGCUUACAGUUCAGUGUUUAGCAUUCAGUUUUUAUUGAAGAGGGCUGUAAGUACCAGUUCCUAUGAAAUCUGUUUUUGUAGUUGUUGCAAAAGAAGAAUUCCAUGGAAGCCAUGAUCUCUUGCAGUGACAUCUCAUUAUACGUGCAUUUAACUUAUGUGAAGCAGAUAUUUGUGCUUGGACAGUGGGUACAGAGAGGGAAAUAAUUGAAAUGAUGUAACAUAAAAUACUAUAAAAGUUAUAUUUUGCAUAUGUUCUAUUGAUUAUUAUACUGUAUAGGUCUACAAAUAUUGUGUGUAUGUAUACUUCACUUAAUCGACAAUAUAAGGAGUUUUGUUAGAGGAAUUUGGAUUAAACAUGCUUUUUUCCUCACAUGCUAAUCUGGAACCUAAUUCAUGUGGAAAGCCGGUCAUCAUCCGCUGGACAUGACGAUUGACAUCACCACUUAAGAUGCCGUCUCCGGCCUGGUGUGGCUCCUGUCAGGCGAGGCCCUGGAUUCCGUAAGCAGAGUUAAGACCCAUGUGAAAAGUUCACCCUAGUAAAAGGUGCAGUUUCUUGCCUCGGUCCAAACGUCUCAGCACUUUCCAAUCACAUGUUGGGCAACUCUCCUGCACAGCCCACUUUCUAGACCUGAACUCUGCCCACUUGUUAGGGCGGCUGUGUGCUCAGGGCACAACCUUUGGCUUCUGCUGCCAGCCCCUGUGUCACUUGCUCAUCAGCUUCUCGGGAGCAGGACCUGUCUUACUCUCUGUUUCACAAAUGUUUAGUAGAAUAUCUGGCACAUAGUAAAUGGCAAAUCAAUAUUUGUGGAACAAAACUUAAUCUGCAUGUGACUUUAUCCUUGUUCCCACUGCUGCAUUCCUGAGAACAGAGCCACUGGUAACCUCCCAUUCAGCAAACAUCCUUUCCUGUGUCCAGCCUUGGAAGUAUCCCUUGGAGUAAAUCUCUCUGUAAAGUCCCCUUGCAAGAAACACUUUUUAAUGCCAGGCACGGUGGUUCACGCCUGUAAUCCCAGCAUUUUGGGAGGCCAACGCGUGUGGAUCACCUGAGGUCAGGAGUUCAAGAGCAGCCUGGCCAACAUGGCAAAACCCCGUCUCUACUAAAAACACAAAAAUUAGCCGGGUAUGGUGGUGGGUGCCUGUAAUCCCAGCUACUUGGGAGGCUGAAGCAGGAGAAUCGCCUGAACCUGGAGGGCGGAGGUUGCAGUGAGACGAGAUGGCGCCAUUGCACUCCAGCCUGGGUGACAAAGUGAGACUCCGUCUCAAAAAAAAAAAAUACUUUUUAGUAUCUGAUAUUAGGAAAAUACUUUCUUUUCCCCUAAGGAACUAGUAUAUUCUACUUUUUCAAUAAUAAGAGCCAUGUAAACUAUCAUCUCUCCCUUUCUCUGUCUCUCUCUCUCUCUGUAAGAGUGGCCAAGAACCUCAAAAUAACUGUAAACUCAGUGAGAGCCACUGUAUUGACCCUUUCAGUUCCAUCAUGUUUAUAUGACUUCUCUUAGAUCCUGAUUUUCAGCUUGGGGAUUCUAUUGCAGUUUUUCUCAAAGUGUGGCCUGGGAACACCUGUAUCAGAAUCAUUGUAGGUGUCUGUUAAAAAUGCUGAUUUUCAGACCCCUCACAGACUUGUUAAUCAGAAACUCCAGAAGUGAGAUUCAGAAAUUUGCAUUCUACACAAACAUCCCAGGUAUCCUAAUGCUCAGUUAAGUUUGAGAAUCUAUGGCCUAUUUUUUUUUUUUUUUUUUUUGAGAUGGAAUUUUGCUCUUGUUACCCAGGCUGGAGUGCAAUGGCACGAUCUUGGCCCACUGCAACCUCUGCCUCCCGGGUUCAAGCAAUUCUCCUGUCUCAGCCUCCUGAGUAGCUGGGACUACAGGCGCUGGCCACCGUGCCUGGCCAAUUUUUGUAUUUUUAGUAGAGACAGGGUUUCACCAUGUUGGCCAGGCUAGUCUUGAACUCCUGACCGCAGGUGAUCCACCGGCCUCCGCCUCCCAAAAGUGCUGGGAUUACAGGCGUGAGCCACCGUGUCCGACCUCAUUUUUAUAUGUUAUUUGUUGUAAAACACUCAACAUUCUUCUUGGAAGAAAAAGAAAUUUACAUAAGUGGUAUAAUAUAAGAAAAUAUGCUGCAUAACAUAAUGAUGAUGGCCUUCAGGUAAUGUUAACAGCAUUACUUAAAAUAAUUAUUAAUGUAUUAUCUUAAUUUUUUUUUUUUUUUUUUUUUUUGAGACAGAGUUUCACUGUUGUUGCCCAGGCUGGAGUGCAAUGGCUCGAUCUCAGCUC